CUCCGAGGGCCUGGAGGCCGCCCGGGCCGGAGGAGGAGCACACCCAGGGGCGCUGACGCUCGUCCCGACCCAGCUAGGCCGCCCAGAGCCGCUUCGGGCGCCCCCCACCCCACCGCAGGCACACCCCGCCCCCUUGCAGAGAUCUCUCCCCUACUGGAGGGUGGCGCGCAGCUAUUUAGAGCUGUCUGUUGCAGGAAGUCUGGGAGCUCUGUAAACAUGGAAGCGACCCAAAUCUUGGGAGAAGUUAAGUCCUUUGCAAUGUGAAGCAACUGGUGCAGGCCAGGCCUGCCAAGGGGCACAGGGCGCUCCUGAGAGCUCUGCUCAUCCGUGGUCCUAGGAGCCGCCUAGUGGUCAGGAUGCCACACUGCUUCUCCCACAGUCCAGCGAAGGCUUCCAGCUAUGCUGGUUC